UCUGGAGGGCAGGGCUGCGUCCUGAGGCCUCAGUGAGCUCAGGGGGUCUAAGGUCAGCCUGACUGCUGGUGGGUGGGGCUGUGUCCCCGCCCAGUUAGUUGCUUGGCCUGAGGCGUCCCAGCACUGGCCCCAGCAGGCUGUCGGGCGAGGCCAGGCCUUGUCGCUAAGGAGCUGGAGGCCGGCAUCAGCCUCCCUCAGUGGAAGGAGCUCCCAAAUAUGGCUGCUGCCAGGAUGAACCCCAGUCUCCCCGCCUCACCCGGGGACCUUCCAAGACCAGCAGGUGGCUGGGUCAGAGAGUGAUACUAGGACUUCUGCAGCCAUCUUGUGUCCAUGAGGAGAGCCAGACCAGGGACAAAGUGGACAUGCAGGGAAGGACACAGAGGAGUAGAUCCAGACCCCUGGAGGCAUCCCAUCAGUGCACCCUCCCCCUGGGCUUCCCACGAGGUUUGGUCCGGGUGAUGCUGCCACACAUCUUUUCUCCACACCAGAGCAUGCUAGCAGAUCCGGUUUGCUCCUGCAAAUGGUGGUGACGUAAGUGAGAUGGGGAUCUGAGGUCUGGGACCAAAACAACAUGCCUCAGCCAUUUGACAGCGUUUCCUCCUGCACCGGGUUCCAGAUCCUAGAGAAAAGGGCUCAGAAAUGCCUGACAAGCCCUCCCACCAGGCUCAAGGCCCCUCCUCCAAUAAGACAUCUUCCCACAGAAUCACAUCUCUGUUAAGACGGAGAAAGUAAAGCUCAGAGGGGUUAAGUCGCUCAAGGUCAUUCUCCGUGCCAGGUCAGGGAGAAGCUACAGUUUGAACCCGGGAACUCCCAGUUCAGCAUCUCGGCUCUCGGCCAUGAGACGUCCUGCCCUGCGGGUCAGAAAGCAGAUCCUUCUCCUUUUGCCCGAAAGCUCCCCUCACCUUGGCCACCCCGCAUGGAAAUAUUCUGCAUCCAGACAGCCAAGAAAAGAGAAGUAAGAAGGAGGGAAGAAAAGAAAAAUGAAGAACGCUUUGUUCCUUGAACCAUUCUCCAUAAACACUGUCCCCGCCAGCACGCCAGACAGAUGCUAUCGACAGAUGGGAACUGGUACACCAGAUUGAAUGCAUUAUACGGGGGAAUGCCCAUGAUAUAAAGCUGAGUGGAAGGAAGCACAAUGGGCACUAUGGAGUAGAACGUUCAAUAAAGGCCUGCUGCAAAGGGGUACCCAUCCUGGGGGAUGACUCCCCAAUGCCCAGGCCCCCUGUGCUAAUUCCUCUCGUGGACCCAACCCAUCCCAGGCUGGGCCAUCCCUUUCAUAUCCUGCACGAACCAAAUGCAGGAGCGAAGUGUGGUCCCCUGGGUGUUUCAAGAGAAGAGAGGACAGCUGACCUGUCACUUGUCACUUCCCCUGUCAACAUUAUUGUUACCCAUUUGGAAUUAGGGACCGUGCCAGCCCACCCCCCCUCCUUUUUCUCUGCAGUGUGCAGAGCUGAGUGCUUAAUCGACAUUUGCAUAAAAUGCCAUAAAUCAUAGAAUCUUAAAGCUGCAAGAAGGCUGAGAGGUCAACCAAGCGAUGAACAAGAAAGCCUGAACGGCCGGGGAAGCCAAGGAGUCAGGAAGAGAGACGGGUGGCUGACGGUGUGCACGCUCUUCGGGCACUGCCUCGCUUCAUACUCACCUUGCCCUGCGGAGCCGGGAUUGCAUGUCCACUUGGCAGAUGGGAACACCGAGGCACACAGUGAUGCCCGGCCUGGGAUUCUCAGCAGUAUCUGAUCUGACUGACCCCAGGCUUCACGCUCUGUCCAUGGGGCCUCACGGGAACCUGGGAAUCUGGUCAUCUGUGGGUGCAUGACUGAGCCUCCGUUUCUCCAUCUGUGAACUGCGUGUGGACACGUUCUGUAAAUGAGUUACACAAAGAGUGGAAAACUGAGUCCUCAGCACGCUGACAGAGAAUGGGGUACCCAGAGAACCCUGGCUGUGUCCCUGGCAGGGGUCAGAGGCAAAGAAAAGAGGUACGAAUGUGGGAGUCAGACAGAACCGGGGUCAAGUCCUACCUUUUCUAUGUGAUUACUGCGUGAACUUGGGCAGGUAACUUUAUCUGCUCUUCUACCUUCGCUUCAUAAAUAUCCAGAGUCGUGGUCAAGUGCAGAGUCAGAAGUCUGACUGUCUGGGUUUAAAAUGGCUCUGCCACAGAUGACCUGUAUGACUCCACACACGUGAUUUAUCAUCAUUGUCACCAUCGUCACCACCGUCUACAUCCUCCUCCUCCUCUUCGUCAUCACCAUCAUCAGUAUCACCACCGUCAUCAUCAAGGUGUAGUGCACAUGUGGUACAAUACCUAAAUCUAAAUGCAAAGCCUGAAGAGUUUUUACGUCCUCCUGCCCUGUGUAACCACCACCAAGAUCAGGUUCUAGAGCACUUUCAGCAAACCAGCAGCCCCUGCCCUUGGCCCUCCCAGUCAACCCUGCCCUCCGUCCCCAGAAGUAAUCACUGCUCUAUUGUCAUCACAUAGCUCUGCUUCUGAACUUCAUACGGAUGGAAACGCGCAGUCCAUUCCUUUGCGUCUGGCUUCUUUCACUCAGCAUCGUGCCUGAGAUGCAUCCACGAUGCUACGGCUGCACGAGCCCAUUCUUUCUCAUUGAUGUGAAAUAGUCUGUGGUGUGACUUCACCACAGUGUGUUGAUCCACUCUUCUGUUAAUGGACAUAUGGGUUAUUUCUAAUAUUUAGCUCUUACAAAUAAAGAUCCUAUGAACAGUCUUGUGCACAUCUUUGGCGUCCCUAAAUACGCGUAUUUUAGGGGUGGAACUACCAAGUCAUAGUUUAGACCUAUAUUUAGCAUAAGGAAAUGUUAGUGUAAGGGUUUUAUCUCCUCUGUUCCUCCCCUUCCUCGUCUGUAAAAUGGUGCCAACCUCUUAAGGCCGUUGUGAGGAUUUAAUGUGAUAAUCUAUGUUAAGUGGGAAGAAAACAGCAAAAUACAGAAUGAGAUGUACAGCUAGAUACCAAUUAUGUAAAGUUUCAAAACCUGCAUGAACAACAAAAUAUAAUGUUUAUGGAUACAUAAUUGUGUAAUAAACAUUUAAAAAAUCUAUCGACAUAGUAAACUCCAAAUAUAAGCUCCUGGUUGGAAAGUAGAAGAAAAAACUGGGAUCAGGGUAGGUGCACGGGGACCUCAGCUACAGCUGUGACGUCUUGUUCCAGUAGAAAAAGAUCUGGAGCAAAUAGAGCAUGCAGUUAAGAUUUUUAAAAGCUAGUGUUUAUUAUAUUUUCUGUAUUCUUGCCUGUAUGUUUGAAAUACUUUUCAUUAAAAAAAAACAUUAUUACUAAAAUGUAA